CUCUUCCGAUCUCCCUGCACUUACAAGCUGUAGGAGCACAUUAUUUGUGUGACUGCGUACUUUUUGUAGAACGGGCCAACGAGUUACGUUGUGUAGCAAGGUUAAGCACUUAAGGUGUGGAGCCGUAGCGAAAGCGAGUCUUAAAUGGGCGAUUAAGUUACUUGGCGUAGACCCGAAACCGGGCGACCUAUCCAUGAGCAGGUUGAAGCGAAAGUAAAAUUUCGUGGAGGACCGAACCCACGAGCGUUGAAAAGCUCGGGGAUGACUUGUGGAUAGCGGUGAAAUUCCAAUCGAGCCCGGAGAUAGCUGGUUCUCCCCGAAAUAGCUUUAGGGCUAGCCUCAAGCGUAGAGAAACGGAGGUAGAGCACUGAAUGUCCUAGGGGGUAUUGCACUUACCGAAGACUAUCAAACUCCGAAUGCCGUUUUCUUUUACUUGGGAGUCAGACUGUGGGUGAUAAGAUUCAUAGUCAAAAGGGCAACAGCCCAGAUCGUCAGCUAAGGUCCCUAAAUGUACGUUAAGUGGUAAAGGAUGUGGGAUUGCACAGACAACCAGGAUGUUGGCUUAGAAGCAGCCACUCAUUUAAAGAGUGCGUAAUAGCUCACUGGUCGAGUGAUCCUGCGCCGAAAAUUUCCGGGGCUAAAACGUACUACCGAAGCUACGGCAUCAUUUAUGAUGGGUAGGGGAGCUUCGUAUGCAGGCUGAAGCAUGACCGUAAGGACAUGUGGACAGUAUACGAGUGAGAAUGUUGGCAUGAGUAGCGAGACGUGGGUGAGAAUCCCACGGGCCGUAAACCCAAGGUUUCCAGGGGAAGGUUCGUCCGCCCUGGGUUAGUCGGGACCUAAGCCGAGGCCGAAAGGCGUAGGUGAUGGACAACAGGUUGAUAUUCCUGUACCGCCAAUAAGCGUUUGAGAGAUGGAGUGACACAGUAGGAUAAGCUAACCGUACUGUUGGUUAUGUACGGCUAAGCAUUGAGGCAGUCUAAAUAGGCAAAUCCGUUUAGACAAUGCUAGGAUGUGAUGGGGAAGCCCUUCGGGGCGAAGUAGCUGAUUUCACACUGUCAAGAAAAGCUUCUAUCGAGUUUAAAGGCGCCCGUACCGUAAACCGACACAGGUGGGUGAGGAGAGUAUCCUAAGGCCAGCGAGAGAACUAUUGUUAAGGAACUCGGCAAAAUGACCCCGUAACUUAGGGAGAAGGGGUGCCUGUCUAUGACAGGCCGCAGAGAAUAGGCCCAAGCGACUGUUUACCAAAAACACAGGUUUCUGCUAAGUCGCAAGACGAUGUAUAGGAGCUGACGCCUGCCCGGUGCUGGAAGGUUAAGGGGAUCUGUUAGAGCAAUCGAAGCAGUGAACUUAAGCCCCAGUAAACGGCGGCCGUAACUAUAACGGUCCUAAGGUAGCGAAAUUCCUUGUCGGGUAAGUUCCGACCCGCACGAAAGGCGUAACGAUUUGGGCACUGUCUCAACAAUAGACUCGGUGAAAUUGUAAUCCCGGUGAAGAUGCCGGGUACCUGCGACAGGACGGAAAGACCCCAUGGAGCUUUACUGUAGCUUGACGUUGGGUCUUGGUACUACAUGUACAGGAUAGGUGGGAGACUAUGAAGCAUGGACGCCAGUCUGUGUGGAGUCAUCCUUGGGAUACCACCCUUGUAGUACUGGGAUCCUAACCAUAGGCCUUGAAUCAGGUCUUGGAACACCGUCAGGUGGGCAGUUUGACUGGGGCGGUCGCCUCCUAAAAAGUAACGGAGGCGCUCAAAGGUUUCCUCAGCACGGUCGGAAAUCGUGCGAAGAGUGUAAAGGCAAAAGGAAGCUUGAUUGCAAGACAUACAGGUCGAGCAAGGACGAAAGUCGGACUUAGUGAUCCGGUGGUACCGCAUGGAAGGGCCAUCGCUCAACGGAUAAAAGCUACCCUGGGGAUAACAGGCUUAUCUCCCCCAAGAGUCCACAUCGACGGGGAGGUUUGGCACCUCGAUGUCGGCUCA
rnacentral:rRNA from 1 species